rnacentral:lncRNA from 1 species
GGGCCCAGGCCGCAGGCAGAGGGGCUCAGAGGAGGCUGAUGGGGGGCCCGAGGGAGUGUGGCGUCAUCGGCUGAGAGCCGCUCCGGCCUGAGCUGAGACCCGAUGGGACGGGACGGGGCGGGACGGCAUGGUGGCUCCCCGGCCCCAGGCGAAGCCGCACGGUGAGAAGCAGCAGCCGCCCCGAGCUUCUCUGCAGAGACGAGGACAGUGUCCUCCCCUCACAGGGUGACAAGCGGGAAGCGGCUGCCCCUCCCUCCCUGGCAGCUGACCUGGGGGCCGCGGCCCAGCCCCCUUCCCCGCCCGGCUGAGACCCACAGCAGGUCGGGAUGGCUCUGCGGAAGCUUGGCCUGCACGCCUGGCACUGAGUUCUCUCGAGUUCCGCCCGAGGCCUCAGCCCCCAGGAACCAGUGGGACCGACGCCGGUGCUGGGGGCUCCCGUGGUGGCUGAUGAGUCUGGAGUGUCACCAGGAGGGGACGCGGUCCCCGCCCAGCCUGCCGGCAGCCUCUGACGGAUCCCGGGGCUCACGCUCCGCCCCUGCUCUCUGGGGCCGCGGCCCCCUUGCUGCACCCCGGCAGCCUGGCCGAGGCAGGGAGAAACCAGCUGGCUCUGGUCUCUUGCCCCUGGCGUGGCUGCUCCGAUUUCCCGUCUGGAGAGCAACGGGCGGCACCGGCCUCUUCCUGCCGACGUGCAGCGCGUCAUGAAACGCAGCCUGCUGCUCGGCCGAGGCCGCCGCCCCUCGCCGCUCCGCAGUCCACGUGCAGCCGUGCUUUCCCCGGGAAGGACGCUGUCCGGCGGUGGGUUCAGAGGCGGUGAUCCCUCUAGCGACUCGGAGCGGACGGUGGCUGCGUCCAUACCUCCCGACCUGGGUGUGCCGGCGGGGUCAGGGCCACGCCCAAGGCCCACAGGACGACUUUGCAUCCAUCCAGGCUCUGCCACGCUUUUCAAGCCUCAGAAUGGAACCUUGUGCCUUAGUUUCCUUCUCCCGCUGCUCCACAGGCGAGCAGAGGGCCUGGGGCAGCGGGGGGUCGCCAAGGGGGAGGCCGAGGUUGAGGCUCCCGCCGCGGCCCAGGGGCUCCUGACUGCCACACCGGGACACCCGGCAACCUUUUUUCUACACAAGUACAGUUAGUGGGGUAAACUGUUGAAGCAGCUUGCUUUUGAAAAACCUUUUUAUUUCCACGUGAAGUUUCACACAUAGCACAGAGGGGUCCGGGGUACCCUGCACUGGGUUUCCUGCAAUGUUUGCAUCUUCUGUGAUGCUAGGACGCUGUGACCAGGAGACCCUGCUAGUGCUGAGCCCUUUCUCACAGGUGAGGCUCCCCUGUGCCCGCCUUGUACUCGGGGGCAGCACGGUCGGUGGGUCCCUUCGCCACAAGGGCCUCCCUCCUGCUCCCUUGAGGGCCACACGCCCCCACCAUCUCUAACCCAGACGGCCGCUAGUGAAGCAAUUGAGUUGAAAGACAGCAGACCCUCGAUUUUCCACAGAAUGUGGGGAUUCCCAAUAAACACGAGGCGCUGUGAUGCC